GCUUUUACUGUAGGUACUGUAAGGUAUUUACCUAACCAUUAAAAUGAGCAUUUAUGUGCAAAAAUUGAAAAAAAAACCAGCUCCCGCGAAACCCACGCGUAUUUUAUACAUACAAGAGAUCACUCUCGGCUUCACCCAAUCAUACCAAUCAUUGGAGUUAUCGUUCCAGUUUUUAUAGAGUUCGCCACUCGCAAACCUGUAACACGCAAGUGGCGUCAUGUUACUCGCAGCCGUACUGUACCUUAAGAAGUAAGGAAAUUAUGUUACCUUGAAUGAAAUAUCCAGUAAUAAUUUUUCUCAACAAUGGAUGGUUCAGUUUUUUUUCUGGUGGAUGAAAGGGAUCUCACAACUCCCAAAACGAAAUGAGGCUCUUUGCUGCUUACACCUAUUCCUACAUGUUUCACAUGCCACAGUAUCUGAAGUCUAAAAACACAGAAAUACCGAAUGUAGGUUAUUGCAGUACUGAAAAAUA